rfam:Calypte anna contig42212, whole genome shotgun sequence.
UCUGGCAAUGAUGACACACUUGCCCUCACUGAGAGCACAGCUCAAUAAUGAGCCUCACCAUGUGCGCAAUGAGCUGAGCCAGA